AACAAAGCAAAAAUGUACUUGAGCGGUUGAGCCUAGACCUACUACUGGUUUAAAAAAAAAAUUAAAGUCUCGACUCAUCAUACGGGGAAGAACAUUCCAAUGAUUGAUGGCCAUAAACAUCAGCCAUGCAUGUUACUGAAAAAAAAGAGGGCAUCAAGAAAUACGGCGCAGCUUUGAGAGCACGAUCAGUGCUUCGUGGAGACCAUGGUACAGGAUUUCUUAUCUGAAAGCAAAUGAGGCUGCUGGAUGUUACAUCCCCCAAAACUCCAGUUCACGCCUGGCGAAUUCUUUCAUCUACUUCUGGCUACGGAGAUCUGGUAGAAUUAUCAGGGAGAUGAUAAGUGUGUAGUUUAGGAUCAUGCACAGAAGAAACAUAUUUAAGUUAACAAAUAUACUUUCAAUUUAACAGAAUGGUGACAAGACAUCAAGCAGAUUAUAUGCACAUAAAAACAUGUAGCUUUUUAGGGAAGGUGGAACAAGACAAUAUGCAGCUUACAUCCGUCAGCCAAUAGCACAGAAACACACAAGCAAGUAAUAAUACUGAUAACACAAAUAAAUACGAAAUGUUAUCUGAAGAGAAGGUAUGACUCACAAGCACUCCCACUCCGGCGGACGUAUAUCUUCUCGAG
rnacentral:lncRNA from 1 species